rnacentral:rRNA from 1 species
UCUAUUUUUUUCUCGACCUGAGCUCAAGCAAGACCACCCGCUGAACUUAAGCUAUGGGAAUCCCAAAAAAUUUUAAU